rnacentral:lncRNA from 1 species
UCAAAUAAAAACAUUCCAGGGUUAUACGGUUAACUGUUUAUGAGUUAAAUAAACUUACCGACAAAUUUAUUUUGUAAAGGUAGAUAACUCCUAUAAAAUUUCAUCGAAUCGCUUCGAUCCAAAUACGCCAAAAAUUACUGAGGAUGUAACGAACAAUUUGUAAAAAGAAUUUUGUCGCUAUCUUAUUUUGUUACGGAGGAGAUGCACACAGAGGAUAAACAGUGAAAUGGGAGAUAACUCUUACAUAGAAAAUGGUUCGCCUUAGCAGGGUGAAAUUUAAAAGUGCAUAAACUAUACAAUACCAUAUGAGAAAUAUCUAAGCGACAUAUUGCGAAACAAACAUUUUGCGCAAGAACAAAAUUUGGCGGAAGAAAAAAAAAAAAAUAAUAAUCAGAACAAAAAC